rnacentral:misc_RNA from 1 species
GAUGAAGAACGUAGCGAAAUGCGAUACGUAAUGUGAAUUGCAAAUUCAGUGAAUCAUCGAGUCUUUGAACGCACAUUGCGCCCCCUGGUAUUCCGGGGGGCAUGCCUGUCCGAGCGUCAUUGCUGCCCUCAAGCACGGCUUGUGUGUUGGGCCCCGUCCUCCGAUCCCGGGGGACGGGCCCGAAAGGCAGCGGCGGCACCGCGUCCGGACCUCGAGCGUAUGGGGCUUUGUCACCCGCUCUGUAGGCCCGGCCGGCGCUUGCCGAUCAACCCAAAUUUUUUAUCCAGGUUGACCUCGGAUCAGGUAGGGAUACCCGCUGAACUUAAGCAUAUCAAUAAGCGGAGGA